UACGGAGGGUGCAAGCGUUGCUCGGAAUUAUUGGGCGUAAAGGGCAGGUAGGUGGUCUCAUUUGUCUGAGGUGAAAUCCUUGAGCUUAACUCAAGAAGUGCCUCAGAAACGGUGGGACUAGAGUACUGGAGAGGGUCGUGGAAUUCCCGGUGUAGCGGUGAAAUGCGUAGAGAUCGGGAGGAACACCAGUGGCGAAGGCGGCGACCUGGACAGUAACUGACACUCAACUGCGAAAGCGUGGGGAGCAAACAGG
rnacentral:misc_RNA from 1 species